AACGGCGCGCAGGACAGCAGACCUUUAGCCUCUCUCCAGCCUGCACAAGCCGCCAGGAGUCUGACGAGCAACCCGGCUCUACUUUCCCAGGCUCCAACCUCAGUUAGACAAUUACACCUGAGCGUUAAGAUCCAGUGGCUGUUCGUCUCCAAUCGGAGCAGCAGUGGUUACAGGCCUACACCUCCCAUCAUCCAGGGUAUCCAUCAAAGCUUCAGCCACUGUGCAGUAACUUCCUGGAGUCCUAGCUGUUUCCUGCCAGCCUCAUUCCUCCAGGAAGCUAAAUAAUGACAGCUAACGAACAGCAGUGAACAGAGAGAUAAACAACUGACUGGUGAAGGAAAGUGAGCACUCCACCUGGUGUCGCAGGUAGCUCCACCACCUCUCCCAGCCUACAGCAUUUCCAACCCAACCAGAACAGACGGUGUGGGGAGCGAUUUAUUGGAUUGGAUCCCACCCAGCAGUGACUUAUACGCUCAACCUAUAUGUCACAGAUGGUAGGAUUUCACUGUGGUUGAUAUAGGAAAUCCACUAAGGAGUAUUGAUCUUUCUAAGAUCUGCUCUCUCUGCCUGAUCUCCACAGGAUCUGAACAUCCGCAGAGAGCUGGAGGGGAGCGGGCCGCAGGUCUACCUUUAACCAGUAGAGUAAAGGUAAUGCUAUGGAACAUUUUCACACAGCAUCUCCACCAUCUUUCAAUACAUGCAGUGUUACUAUUCGACAUAUAGCCAGCUUCACAUUUCUUGCUCAUGUUGUGUUUUCAAAUGCUUUUAAAGGCUGUUAGCAUUAGUAGCUUUAGCAACCAGGUCUGAACAGAAGAACUACAUCUACCACCUACAGCAAAUGCACCAACAAAACAAUCCAAGGAAACUCACUGUUGACUCACUGUUCGCUUGGCAACAGAUCUAUGGGUGGAUUAAGACCAAAACCACAACAGUAAUAAUCAGUUUGCGUCAAAGAUGUCAGCAAAAUGAAAAACAAGAACCUUGAUUAUUACUCCUGUAAGUGGAAGUUACACAUUGUGGGAUCUCUAUAAGAUCUAAGUUGUUCAUUUCUAAACUGGCAUUCUGCAACUAGAUAUUAAAACACACCUGAGCUACAAAUGCAUGCAAAUCCAAAAUGCUUUUUCUGCCUUGCUAAAGAAUGGCAAUUUUAAUAGCAUAUAUCUGAUUCCAUUAAGACUUAUAAUCGUAUUAAUUUGUUUAUCAUAGACACAAACGCUAAAUUGUUUGUGCAAUUGACAUUUUCUGUACCUGUCCAAUCUGCUUCAGUAUCUCUGUGUUGCUUUGAAAAUGCUACAAGAUAAUUAUCAUCAUAUUAAUAAAGAACUUCAUUUACAUGAA